ACGGCGAGUGAACCGGGAAAAGCUCAAAUUUGAAAUCUGGCUGUCUUCGAUAGUCCGAGUUGUAAUCUAUAGAAGCGUUUUCCGUGCUGAACUGUGUAUAAGUGUCUUGGAACAGACUAUCAAAGAGGGUGACAAUCCCGUACUUUACACAAUCAUCAGUGCUCUGUGAUACGUUCUCUACGAGUCGAGUUGUUUGGGAAUGCAGCUCAAAAUGGGUGGUAAAUUCCAUCUAAAGCUAAAUAUUGGCGAGAGACCGAUAGCGAACAAGUACCGUGAGGGAAAGAUGAAAAGCACUUUGGAAAGAGAGUUAAACAGUACGUGAAAUUGUUAAAAGGGAAACGAUUGAAGUCAGUCGUGUUUAUUGGAUUCAGCCGGUCUUCGGUGUACUUCCUUUAAACGGGUCAACAUCAGUUUUGUCCGGUGGAUAAAGGCAGUAGGAAUGUGGCUCCCUCGGGAGUGUUAUAGCCUAUUGUCACAUACACUGGAGGAGACUGAGGACUGCAGCUCGCCUUUUUGGCCGGGGUUCGCCCACGUUCGAGCUUAGGAUGUUGACAUAAUGGCUUUAAACGACCCGUCUUGAACCACGGAACCAAAA
rnacentral:rRNA from 2 species